AAAAGACAAAAGAGGGGAGGGGAAAAGGAAAAGCAAGAAAUUCACGUAGAAAUAACACUAGAAACGUUAGACAUAGAACUAGUCAAAAAAAUUGAAAUAGAGAGGAUUUGGCGCGCUUCGCGGCAAGUACGGCUGCCAUCUUGUAAAAGUGUCUCUGUAGUGUUUGGAAGUUCAGCGAGAAGGAACAGCAGCUUCGCCGGAGGCUGGAAGUCCUUUCAAAGCGGUCGCAACGCUCCUUGGCAGUCCCUGGGCACCCAGGUGACCCUCGAGCGAGGCCAGGGUACUCAAAAGCUGCUACGACGAAAAUUAGCAAGGCCAGCGGACUCACUUUACACGCCCGACUCUCGCGAAGAUGAGUUCGGCAUCAACGGGCGGUACAGAGGAGUCCAGCCCAUCUUCUAGCCCUGCUUCAGCCACAAGUCUGACCAUGGCAGCUCCAAAGUAUGGUACAUUGGUACCUAAUCGUAUAUUUGUUGGGGGAAUCUCAGCAAGUACCAGUGAGGCAGAACUUGCAGAACUUUUUUCUCAAUAUGGUACUGUCAAAGCUACAAAAAUAAUUGCUGAUCGUGCUGGAGUUUCAAAAGGUUACGGUUUUGUCACAUUUGAAACUGAAGAAGAAGCUAAACGGCUUCAACAAGAGCCUGAAUGUAUUGUCCUAAGAGAGAGAAAACUUAAUAUAGCUCCUGCAAUCAAGAAACAGCCCUUCAACAGAUCGUUCGAUGGUGGUUCUGGUUCACCACCCUCUGUGCCUAGUAGUACUUAUUAUUAUGCAAAUGGUAUGGGUCUUACAUACCAAAAUGGUAUGACAUUCUACAAUGCAGCGGCACCUGCACCAGGAACUCCUAUAGCACCACCAGCAGAUCCUGCGACAAUUUAUCAAGCUACAGGUGUUUUUGGUCCUCAGGCUACUACUGGUCAUCAAACUUUUGCUCCAGUUAUGUAUCCAUGCCCAGCACCAUCUUUGUAUAUGCCGCAACAGUACCAGUAUCCACCCAUGCCGUACGAACCAUAUUACGCAGGAGCAGCUGCUGCUGGAGCUUCACCAUACCUAUUUACUACCAGCAGUUCGCAAAGCAACACAAGUAGUGGUGGCAAUAAUAAUAACAGCGGCAAUAAUGGUACAGGAGCAAAUAGUCCAGCAACGGGUCCACCGCCAACGCUCCCGUCUCUUCAUCCACCACCUCCUGCACACUUUUAUGCUCCUGCUGCACCACCACCACAUCAUCAUCCACCAGUGCCCACAGGACCUCCUCCGCCACAAAUGGAUCAUCUUUAUUACUCUUUUGCAGCUGGGCCACCUCCACCACCUCCUGCUCAUGCACCUAUUGGAUUGUCUGAUCAUCAAUUACUUAUAUACCCCCCUGAUACUUCGUGUCAACAAACUACUACAUCAGACAAUCAAACUGCUCCGCAAGAGGAUUCACGUUCGACAUCAAGCCACUCGGAGCAACCACAUGGUGAAUCACAAGCUGCUUCAGGAUCAGCUACGCCUCUGGUAUCCUUAAUGCCUCUAAAAUUUCCUAUGUCCAGUCGUUACACCAAUUACCAUCCAAUCGCGAUACAUACUACUAAUUUACAUAACUCACAAACAUGUUUAAAUGAAGUAGACGAUUGCAGUGCAAAUCAAAUGCAUUGUAGAGCUAUAGUUUAUCAUCCUGUUUACAUUCCUCAUACACAUCCACCACAAUUUCACAAUACUUCUGGUGGUGCCAGUCUUUUACCAACACCUCCAUCAAUUUCACAAUUUGAGUCAAGUACUAAAACACAUCUCAAUUCCAGAGAUUAUACCAAAUCAAGUAUAACAAUAACUCAAAGCAAUUAUGUUAAAUCUCAAAAUCACAUAGCGGUAAUCAAUCCAAACACUUUUAGUAAAACUCAAAGUGUAGGAAAUUCAUUGCCACAUAAGUAUACUAAUGUAGAUGGAACUCAUAAAUAUGCAACCAUUGCUAUGACAUCUUCUCGAUUACCAGUUCAAUAUAGCAAACGAACUGCUGUUUCCAAUGUGGGCUCUCCGGCUUGUUUUUUGACACAAAAAUCUGGAAAUUACACUUCGAGUCAAAAUUUAAGCAAGCCUGGUAAUUUUGGAUCCAAUGUUAAUUUUAAUAAUCAAACAUACAAUCCAUCUAGUAAUAGUUCACAGAAGAUUGGAAAUAUGAAUAUAAAUCAAAACUUCGACUACGCGAAUGGACGUAAAAAUACGAACUAUAAUACAGAUCAAUAUUUUGACAACACAAUCGGAUAUAAAUCAACGAACUAUACCUCAGGUAGGAGGAAUGCAUCGAAUAAUUAUAGAACCACAGGUUCUGUAUCUGCUAAUCAAUUUGACAAUUUGAAUAGUAGCAGUCAAAGCAAUGAAUCUUCUACUAUGAGUCAAAUAGAUAGUACCAACUCUUCACAGGGUUUGCAAACUACAGAUUCAACAAGUUCAGAUAAGCCGGCGAGUCCACCGCCAGCACCAUACUCCCCCAUGACUCGACCCCUUCCAACUUUAUCACCACCCACCCCUCAGGUCCCGUAUUAUCCGCCGGCUCAAAACCGUUAUCAACCCUCCCUGCCAUCUCAGCACCAGCAGCAACAACAGCAGCAACAAUCUGGCCAACGUCGGUAUACAGUAGCUCCAACAUUGACUACAAAUAGGAAGACAACUGAGAAAUAUUCGAGUGCUAAUUCGCAAACUAUGUUGCGGCAAAGCAAAUAUAAGGAGAUACUUUGCCUUGUGGUUGAGUUGAAGUAGCAGAUCCAUAUCCAGAAUACAUUGAAUAAUUACAAGAUAGUUGAGAUGGUGGUCUAGGAUUAAUAGCAGGAAAAUCAGUUUGAUAAGUUGCACGUCUUAAUUCGCUAUAACUGGAAGAGACAGGACUAGGUGGUGGUGGCAAUUCUUCAGGAGGUGGAGGAAAUGAAUUUCCUGGAAUGCAAGCAACGUAUUCUGAAGGCUCAGGAGGUGGGGGUAAGUCGUCUAAAAAAACAAAAAAAAAAAGGAAAAUAAAAAACAUUAAACAAUUGUAUACUUUUCAUUAAAAACUAAAUAUAUAUUAUUAAUUUUACCACUGGUAUGAGUAGGUGGAAGAUUACUGUAAGUAUUCUCUGAUUUUGGGUUCCAUUGUAUAUUACUGUAAAUGAUAUCUUUUUCUGUUUUUUUUGGUACAGGAACAGAAAUAGGUGCUGGAGAUUCAACAUUACUAUAUACUGCACUAUUUGUAGCUCUAUCUUCUACUGGCACUUGAGGAGCUGGUAAAUUUCCAACAUUUGAAUAAUAAUUUUUCUCAUCAUAUCCAUAUUUAGGUUCAAACUUCUCUUUUGUUUGAUGUACAUAGAAAUUUUCAUUAUUUUGAUAUAGUUUCACAGUCUCUUUUCCAUUAGUCAAUGUUGGUAUAUUAAAAUCAUUUUUUUCCAUAUUCAUUGAUACAUAUGGAGAAGGUGAAUUCAUAUAUAGGUUUGUAGAUUUUUCAUUUGUUCCAGCAUUAUUGAGUACAGUGCUAUAUGAUGGUGUUGGUGCUGCCUUUAUUGAAUAACUUUGUGGUAUCUAUCAAAAAACAUUAAUGGCAAUUUGUAAGAAAAUCAUAUUAAUUAUAAAUAUGUAAAUAUAACAUCAUAGAUUAUGAUGUUUUACCAUUGGUUGUUCCAAGUCAAGAAGGCAUAUAAAUAACCAUAUAUUAAUAUCAUAUCAUCUCCUAUGAUAAAAAAAUAUUAUACUGACCUGAGGUUGACAUUUUUUUGGUUUUGGUGGUACAGCAGGACCAACUUUCUUUCCAGAUUUAACCAUUUUGAUUGUAUUAUCGCCAUGAUUGAUUUGCAAGUUUGCAAUAUGUUGCUCCAAAUUAUUAACAUUAGACAUUUUUCUAUAAUAGUAGAAUAAAGUAGACAAACAUUAUAUAUAUAUAUUGUGAAAAAAAAUAAACUAGUAAAGAAAGAAAAUUACUUGAUGUCAUAUAUUGAAAUGAAUGAUUUUUAUAGUACACAUGCACGCGUGCGCGCACACACGCGCACGCACACACACACACACACACAGAAAGAGAAUGUACAAAAAUUAGAUCUUUCUAUAAAACUGUUUGGCCACUAAAAAAUGUAUCCAAAUAAUUAGGAAAAUAUUAUACUUAGUAAUAUAAUUAAUAACUAUCUCUAGUAUGUUUUUACAUUGUUACAAAAAAAGCAGCUGACCUUUCAGAUAUAAGACAUCAAAUUUUUAUAAGUAGUCGAUUUGACAAGCGUAAUAUUUCGACUUGUAUGGUAUUGAAUCUCUUAUCAGAGAAAAUUAUCUUUAAUACUACUUUAGGUUUAUCUGCUAAAAGUAUAUUCCAAGUGGGAUCAUACCACCAUGGAGCUUGUACCACUGAAGAAAAAUGUCAACUUACCCGGUGAGCCAAAAAUGUAUAUUUAAAAAAGAAUUUAGACCAAUGUUAACACUAAGUUGGAAAAUAUUCUAUCCUUUGUAAAAUUCGUCGUCGCACUAUGGUCACUUUGAUCGAACGGCUGAUUCACACUUCCUUAUCUUGUAACCUCAGAAAUUCCUUUCCAAUGAUUCUUACAUUACCCGAAAUUCAAAACUCGUGUGGCUCUGCUUGUACCACACCCAAGGCCGAUUGUGCUGUUAGCUGCCUGUGUACUAGAGAUAUUUGACCGCCUCUAUUAAUGCGGAUCGGACCGCAAGUAGCAUUAUUUUAAAUUUUCAACUUUAUUUUUUUUGUUUUACUUUACUUUUAUUGUUUUAAUUUCUUUUAUAUAAGUCUACUGGUAUAUUUUUAUGAAAGUUCCAUAUAGUUGACAGAGGUAAAUAAAAUUCAUAUAAAUAUUUGAUAUAUUUAUUUUAAUUUCAUUCUUUAAAGUACACUAUCGGCCGUUCUAGGGAUUUGAUCGCCUACGUACAUGCAUGCACUGCACCCUUACCAGAACUAGUCCUGUAUACGUCGUUAAAAAGUUCCCUUAUGGAUUUCGAGAAAGAACUUCAUUAAAAGAACCAGACUCAUCGAAAAAAACAAUAUUGGUUACUUGAAAUCCGAUAUCUGAUAAGUUUCGAUAGGUUAGAAACAUUCGACUCAUUCUUUUUCUCUUUCGUAUUAUGGGACAUGGAUUUUCUUUUGUAUCGUAUCGCAGAUACCAAGAACGUACGAGGACCAAUAUUUCAAACAAUAUUGCGGGGACAGGAACGUUGAUUGAAUGUGGAAUAAAGAAAGAUUACGUAUAUAGCUUUGGUAUGCAAUAGAGGUAAAAAUGGAAAGACGUUGAUUUCGUGAAGAAUAACAAAAUUAAUUUACGAUAGAAAUGGCUAAUUUCUCCACCGCAGGCCAUAUUGUUCCUACCAUCAAUCAAUUUGUUCCUUUAUUAUUUAUGUAAGUCAACUAGUUACUUCUUCAACCGAAUAGCUAUAAAUAGAUAAAAACAAACGCUGUGCAGACAUGGCAGUAUCAAAUAAAAAGGAAUCUUUUUCAAUCUUAUCGGAACAGACAAGUAGGAUCACGAGUUACAUGUGGCCCGUUGGCCAGCUGCUCAACUCUGAUUUACAACGAACUCGUUGAUUCGUCGUUUAAUAAAAUCGUCGAAUUGGAAUGUUCAUUUAUAUCGUUUAUUUCUGCAAUUCGUUCUUUUUUUUCAAACGAUCGGAGAAAUUAUAUCUGAAUAAUUUAUUUCGAAAACUAUUAAUUAUUGAUUAAUCAUACAUAGAUCACUGAAUUGAAGUAUUAAAUAUGUAUGUAUAAAUUAUUUUUUUUUUAACAGUACUAUGUACCGACAAGUUGGUAAUAUAGGAAUUGACAAAACGUCGGUAAAACAUGUUGUAAUAAACAAGUAAAAACAAUACGUACCGAGUAAUAUAAUACAUAGGGAAAUAUUAGUUUUAUAGGAAAAAAUAAACGUUUUUUUUUUCAUUUUCGCUAAAUGAUCAUAAAAGUUUACUACGACAUUAAUAAAUAGGAUUUUGUUUUGAACUUUAUCAUACCAGACAAAAUGCAUUUAUGAUUGAAAACUAUUAAACAGCGCUCUACUAUUACCGACAAUUAUCUACUCCAAUGAUAAAACAGCACUCUACUACAAUUAUAUUUUUUACUCGACAAGUUAAAUAAUGUUCUACUACAAAAUAUAUUUUAAUUUUGCUGUGAUCUCUUGGAGAAUUUGAUUAUGUUUUUUAUAUUUCCUGAUUUGAAUGAGAGAGAGAAAGAGAGAGAGAGAGAGAGAGAGAGUAUAUAAUACAAAAUAACAGUGGUGCCACUUUAACAUAACGAAAAUGCAACAAUAUAGUUAUUUUAAGCCAUUACAUUAUAAUUAAAUUAUCAAUUUUUUUUUAACUUUACAUUUAUAUCUAUACUAGAACUUAGCAAUAUUCAUUGUUUUCGCCUAGAUAUCAUUUCGAAUUUGAUAAAUUUCAAGUAGCUAAAAUCUUAUCACGAUCUUUUUAUGCUCAUAAAUUGACGCCAUUAUAGAUUUAAUAUAAAUCGCGGCCACAUUUGAAAUACAUUCGGCAAAGAUUUCAGAUUUGUAAAGUAAUAUUUCCUUAUUUAUUACAUUUAUUUAACUAUUGCACUUUUCUUAUAUGUAGUUUAAACUCAAAACCUUUUGUCCUUCGUAAAGAUCAAGUUAAUCUAUCACGUAAAUGCUUAAGAUAAAGUCUUUAAUUGUUAUCCACAAUGUAUCUAUGCUGCGAGGCACGUUUCAUACUAAUCAGAUUAGAUAUAAAAUUAAUGAAUUGAAAUAAUAAAGUAUACAAGUAUAUCAUAAUAUUUUUUUAUCGCUCUGAAGUAGAUGUAUAAAAAUAUUCCAAAGAAUUAUACAGAAAUAAUAUCAACAAGCGAUAAAUUAUCAAGGAAAAGAUAUGGUUCUUAUUUUCUCUUCAAUAUCUAAUAAACAAAACUUUGUAUUUAUAUAAAUUUUUCCCAUUAUUAUACCAUAACUAUAGAAAUAUAAAAUUCUCAAGUAAAUAGUAUUCUAAAAAGUAAUAGUAAAAAGUAAAAAAUAAUAGUAUUGUAUAAAGAAACUCAGAAAAUAUUUUAUGAUAUUUUUAAUUGAUAUUUUAUCAAAUAUAAUUCCGAAGCUUUGUAAUAUUCAUAAAUUUUAUCAUGAUCAUAGAUCGUUUUUAAACGUUACCGAAAUAAUACUAAAUUAUGUUAUAAACAUAUAUUAAUAUAUUAAUUAAUGAUGGUUAUAGAUAUCGAAUAACAUAAGAUUUAUCGAUUAAAUAGAUUAUAACGUCAGAGAUAAGAAACAGCAUUAUCUAAAUAUCUAUAAUGAUAAGGGUAUUGACUGAUAAAUAUUAUAUUGUUUUUUCUUGUCUCUUCUUUGUCUCCUUAUUAUAAAUAAUAAUUACAAGAAGUACUUAAAUAAUUAAAAAUUAAUUAUACCUAAUGUAUAUAAAAAGCUUAUCUUAUGAUAUCUUAUGAUACUUAAUAUAUUACUUAGAGAUAAGUGUGCUUAUCUGUGCAAACACAGUUUAAUCUAUAAUUUAUUAACAAAAUAUAGAGUAUAUAUUUCGCUACAGUUAUGAAUAGAAUUCAAUUAUAUAAUCGAUUGUCUUACAAAUAUCUUUUUUAACUUAUUGUUAAAUGAUGUAAAAGGAUGUACAUGAUAAAAUAGAAAGCGUAGGAGGAAAGAAAUCAUUCACCGUCGGGAAUUCCCGACAUGUGUCUCAUAUGUCUAUUAUCGCGUUAUGUAUAUAUGCUUUAUGUAAGAAAACUUGCGUCGAGUAGGUUUCUUUUUACGUUACUUCUCAUAUAGAUUAUACGUACAUAUCGGUGAAGAAUAAUUCAAAGGUGAUAAGUUUGAUAGAAGAAAAAAUAAAAAAAAAUAAAAAAAAAAAUAAAAAAAAAAGAAAAAAAA